GUGAGAGAGGGAAACACUUCUACGAGCCUACGUUCUUUGUUCAUGUUAAUAUCAACAGAGGCAACGCCUAAAAAAAAUUUGGACAGCCCUGGUUUUAACGGCCUUUUGGGAAUAUACAGUACAGAGCUCACACUGACUGAAGUGGCAUCCUGUUUGGAGACAGCCGCCUGGUAGAGGGCCAUCCUGUCCCGGAGAGGCGUCGAUUCUUCGAGACUUCCAUCUGGUGCAAAAAAAAAAGACAACAGAUCAGUGAUGUUGCAGCAACACAUGCAGCAAUCCAAUGCCGGAUUUAGGUUGAAAAAGUAUGAAAGCUGUACCGCCUACAAACAGGAUGGAUUGUCUCAGGAGUGAUUUGUUCGAGGAUUCAAG